CUAGGCACUGGAUGGAGGUUGCUCCCAGUAGGGUCAGCAUCUGGACCCCAGGCUGAGAGUCAGGCUCUGAUUCCAGAUCUAGCCUCCAUCAUGAAGAAGCUCUUGACCAAGUAUGACAACCUCUUUGAGACGUCCUUUCCCUACUCCAUGGGCUGGCAUGGUGAGGCUUUUCAAGUACCUAUAUUUAGCCCCAACACCAUUUCUGGGCUCCUGGGGCUCAGCCUAGUGAACUGCAACCUCAAAGGAGCAAGCCUUGAAACAGUUGCUGGGGGAAGUGGCCAGAGUAGAGAUGCUGGGACUGAGGGUGGAGCAGCAAACUUGGUGAAACUACAUCUCCAAUGUGCUUUCUAAUCUCCUGCCAGCUCUUCUCAAGCAGGGGAUCCUGGGAGAUGUAGUUUUCAGAUACCUGGUUGGGUUUGGGAGUAGGUGCUAACCUGGAUAACUGUAAAAGGGCUCUCUCUCCCCACUGUCUCUCUUCUUUCUGUCAGGGGCUCCCACAGGAUCAGAGGCUGGGGCCAACUGGAACCAUUGGCAGCUGCACGCUCAUUACUACCCUCCGCUCCUGCGCUCUGCCACUGUCCGGAAAUUCAUGGUUGGCUACGAAAUGCUUGCUCAGGCUCAGAGGGACCUCACCCCUGAGCAGGCUGCAGAGAGACUAAGGGCACUUCCUGAGGUUCAUUACCACCUGGGGCAGAAGGACAGGGAGACAGCAACCAUCGCCUGACCACGCCGACCACAGGGCCUUGAAUCCUUUUUUGUUUUCAACAGUCUUGCUGAAUUAAGCAGAAAGGGCCUUGAAUCCUGGCCUGGAAUUUGGGCAGAUAUAGCAUUAAUAAAACUGUGCAUCUCAAACUUUUA
rnacentral:lncRNA from 10 species